AGUGAACGCUGGCGGUAGGCCUAACACAUGCAAGUCGAACGGCAGCACAGGAGAGCUUGCUCUCUGGGUGGCGAGUGGCGGACGGGUGAGGAAUACAUCGGAAUCUACUCUGUCGUGGGGGAUAACGGAGGGAAACUUACGCUAAUACCGCAUACGACCUACGGGGGAAAGCAGGGGACCUUAGGGCCUUGCGCGAUUGAAUGAGCCGAUGUCGGAUUAGCUAGUUGGCGGGGUAAAGGCCCACCAAGGCGACGAUCCGUAGCUGGUCUGAGAGGAUGAUCAGCCACACUGGAACUGAGACACGGUCCAGACUCCUACGGGAGGCAGCAGUGGGGAAUAUUGGACAAUGGGCGCAAGCCUGAUCCAGCCAUACCGCGUGGGUGUAGAAGGCCCUCGGGUUGUAAAGCCCUUUUGUUGGGAAAGAAAUCCAGCUGGCUAAUACCCGGUUGGGAUGACGGUACCCAAAGAAUAAGCACCGGCUAACUUCGUGCCAGCCGCCGCCGUAA
rnacentral:rRNA from 1 species